rnacentral:sRNA from 1 species
GUCGUGAGAUGUUGGGUUAAGUCCCGCAACGAGCGCAACCCUUGUCCCUAGUUGCUACGCAAGGGCACUCUAGGGAGACUGCCGGUGACAAACCGGAGGAAGGUGGGGAUGACGUCAAGUCCUCAUGGCCCUUAUGGGUAGGGCUUCACACGUCAUACAAUGGCCGGUACAGAGGGUUGCCAACCCGCGAGGGGGAGCCAAUCCCAGAAAGCCGGUCGUAGUCCGGAUUGCAGUCUGCAACUCGACUGCAUGAAGUCGGAAUCGCUAGUAAUCGCGGAUCAGCAUGUCGCGGUGAAUACGUUCCCGGGUCUUGUACACACCGCCCGUCACACCAUGGGAGCGGGAUGUACCAGAAGUAGGUAGGCUAACCGCAAGGGGGCCGCUUACCACGGUGCGUUUCGUGACUGGGGUGAAGUCGUAACAAGGUAGCCGUAUCGGAAGGUGCGGCUGGAUCACCUCCUUUCUCGGAAAUAGCCCGAGUGUCAGUACCCACAACCUAUCGGUUGCAGCGAGUGAAUGGAAAAUGAGUGGAAAAUGAAGUGGCAAAUGGAGUGAAUUUCCAUUCACCGCAGCAGCAUGACGCCGGACAACGGGCCUGUAGCUCAGUUGGUUAGAGCACCGUCUUGAUAAGGCGGGGGUCGAUGGUUCGAAUCCAUCCAGACCCACCAUCGUCUUUCACGGGGGUGUAGCUCAGUUGGGAGAGCGCCUGCUUUGCAAGCAGGAGGCCAUCGGUUCGAUCCCGUUCACCUCCACCAUUCAGGAAGCCGAGGCCGGGAAGUUAUGCAUCACCUAUCGGUUGCGCAUCACACAGCGUUCAACCCUCGUCGUUCGUCGAGUGGCGAGAGUUGAAAGCUGUAUUGUUCUUUAACAAUUCGGAAGGCAAGGGUUCAUCUGGACUUGAUGAGAGUCCGGGUGGACAUAGGGUUGAGUUGUAUCUUGCUGUCAUUCUUUAAAAGGGGAAUGACAGUGGCGCAAACACGCCAUGACAGUGUGUCCCGUACCAGGCAACUGAGAGGGCUCACAGUUAUGGGGUCAAGUGACUAAGUGCAUGUGGUGGAUGCCUUGGCGAUUACAGGCGACGAAGGACGUGGCAGCCUGCGAAAAGCUCCGGGGAGCUGGCAAACAAGCUUUGAUCCGGAGAUGU